GCCCAUAUCCCCUCAUUAGAUCAACAAUAUAAUGACAUUUUCAAUAACUCAAAACACGUUUCAGCGUAUCCAGGUCCAAUAUUUAACUCAUUCAGAACAAACCAUAUUUAUCAAGUCCAAACACAGAAAAUCAAUUGUUAAGUAGUAACUCAAAUCAAUUCAAGAACAUGCUAAAGAUACAUAACAGUAGCAAUUCAAUUCCCACCCAGUACAUCACGGUAAAUCUUAACAUGCAAAGGACACAACAGAUUCAGUCAUUCACUCAAACAAUUCCCA
rnacentral:lncRNA from 1 species